GAUGAACGCUGGCGGCGUGCCUAAUACAUGCAAGUCGAGCGAACAGACGAGGGGCUUGCUCCUCUGACGUUAGCGGCGGACGGGUGAGUAACACGUGGAUAACCUACCUAUAAGACUGGGAUAACUUCGGGAAACCGGAGCUAAUACCGGAUAAUAUAUUGAACCGCAUGGUUCAAUAGUGAAAGACGGUUUUGCUGUCACUUAUAGAUGGAUCCGCGCCGCAUUAGCUAGUUGGUAAGGUAACGGCUUACCAAGGCAACGAUGCGUAGCCGACCUGAGAGGAUGAUCGGCCACACUGGAACUGAGACACGGUCCAGACUCCUACGGGAGGCAGCAGUAGGGAAUCUUCCGCAAAGGGCGAAAGCCUGACGGAGCAACGCCGCGUGAGUGAUGAAGGUCUUCGGAUCGUAAAACUCUGUUAUUAGGGAAGAACAAAUGUGUAAGUAACUAUGCACGUCUUGACGGUACCUAAUCAGAAAGCCACGGCUAACUACGUG
rnacentral:rRNA from 1 species